AUUGAACGCUGGCGGCAUGCUUUACACAUGCAAGUCGAACGGUAACAGGCCGCAAGGUGCUGACGAGUGGCGAACGGGUGAGUAAUGCAUCGGAACGUGCCCAGUCGUGGGGGAUAACGCAGCGAAAGCUGUGCUAAUACCGCAUACGAUCUGUGGAUGAAAGGGGGGGACCGUAAGGCCUCGGCGGAUUGGAGCGGCCGAUGUCAGAUUAGGUAGUUGGUGGGGUAAAGGCUCACCAAGCCAACGAUCUGUAGCUGGUCUGAGAGGACGACCAGCCACACUGGGACUGAGACACGGCCCAGACUCCUACGGGAGGCAGCAGUGGGGAAUUUUGGACAAUGGGCGCAAGCCUGAUCCAGCAAUGCCGCGUGCAGGAAGAAGGCCUUCGGGUUGUAAACUGCUUUUGUACGGAACGAAACGGCGAGCUCUAAUACAGUUUGCUAAUGACGGUACCGUAAGAAUAAGCACCGGCUAACUACGUGCCAGCCGCCGCCGUAA
rnacentral:rRNA from 1 species